UCCCUGGUGGUCCAGUGGUUAAGACUCUGCACUCCUAAUGGAGGGGGCCCUGGUUUGAUCCCGGAUCAGGGAG
rfam:TPA: Bos taurus chromosome 4, whole genome shotgun sequence.